rnacentral:misc_RNA from 1 species
CACGUGAGCCCCAAGCGUUAUCCGGAAUUAUUGGGCGUAAAGGGUGCGUAGGCGGUUGUAUUAGUCGUGUAGUCAAAGUCCAGGGCUUAACCCUGGGUCUGCUACCGAAACGGUACAACUAGAGAUAGUCAGAGGCAUAUGGAACUCAUGGUGUAGGGGUGAAAUCCGUUGAUAUCAUGGGGAACACCAAAGGCGAAGGCAAUAUGCUGGGGCUUUUCUGACGCUGAGGCACGAAACCCUGGGGAGCGAAGCGG